UUAGGCGCUGGCCUGAUGGGCAGUCAGCUAGGUGCGAGAAAGUUGGACAAGGAGAAAGAGUGAGCCAAGGGAGUCAUUAACUGCAUCAAGGUGCUAUGAAAGCCAGGCCCGAAAGACCACGACUCAGUCUCCUCGUUCUAAUCGUGUUCCCCACCAAGACCCACAACCCCCAACCCACACUCCCGUCACCCUAAUGUGAUGAUCCUUUCUGUAAGGUGACAGAAGGGAGUUUGCAGACAUGGUUCAGUGAAAAUUGAGGAGAUUGCCUUGAAACUGGCCUGCUGGGACAAGAGCAUCAGAGUCCAAAAAAAAAGCUUACGAGAGAAGCAGGGGAGACAGCUUUGAAGCUACUGCCCAGUCAGCCUUUAAAAAGGAACAAAGGAGCACAGGCAGCCUACAGAAGCCGGAAAGGGCAAACGACUGGGUUCUUGAAUCUAGGGCUUGACCUCUAGAACUGUAACGAGAAUUGGGAUGGUGUCCAUGCGGUUUGUACUGACUUGUCACAACAGCCAUAAGAAACCAGUAGUGUGGAGAAUAAAGAGGACAGCUCCCUGGUGCGUUCUCCUUUGUCCAGGAAGAGAGGGGACAGUUUAUCAGGCUACCUCACAGACUGAGCACUGUGACUACAGUCCAAUGGAGUGGCCGUCCACAUUUAGAGGAAAAUGUCAAAUGGCCAAACUGCACGGGUCUGUGACUGAUGAGAGAAGCAGAGAUGUGAAGGGCAUCAAAGAGAAAGAAUAUAACUUCCACUUUUAUGUUAGACCCAGCAGCUGGUAACAGCAACCAUUAGCAAAUCCAACGAGUUUCACCCAACACUUGAGAAUUAAUAGAAGAUGUGCCACCUUCUGUCCAGAGAACUAUGCUUGUCGCUCAGUUGUUCUAGCAGUUCAGUUUGGAGGAGAGGUAGACACACGUGGGUAGAUAACUAGCUGCCAUAAAUGGGUUUUGGUUUUUGGGGGGUUUUGGGAGGGUUCUGUUGGUUUUGGUUUGUUUGUUAAGGCACAGGUAUACUAUGGCAAACUGUAUAAGGGCGAAAGAGUUAAUAGACCAAGAUUUAGAGCCAGGACAGGCAGUUACCUUCCUAAGAAAACCAAGUUCGAAUUGAUUUAAAUGCUCUUUCUCCAUACUAUUAAGACAAUGUCCAUGCACGGCAGCAUUUACUCUACUAGUGUCGCUUGCCUCAUGCCAGGCACACGGUUCCUAUGCCUGUGCUUAGGAAUCAGAAAGCUGCCUCACGAGAGCUUGCAUAAUUACUCAAGAUCACAAAAUUAGUAAGAGGAUUCCCGAUGCUACAACCCAGGAACUACCCAUUCAUACCGUGCAGUCCCGGUUCACUUGCAGGGGGGCUAGAAAACAUGGCUUACACAGCUCAGCACUGUCUGUGUUACAGGGCUGCUGUGCGUGAUCCCAUUCCGCUCCUUACUUGAACCUGAGAGCAAACUUUUAGAGUUGGAAGCUGCAAGUCUUUUAACCACUCGUGAUGAGCAGUGUGUCUCGCCUGUGAGUGAUGUAAGUUAGACAACUGAACUGCAUAACCAUGCUUCCUUCCCUCUUCGUGCCCCUGUCCCAAAGCCCCGAGGAAAUGUGUUCACUUGGCAUUUGUAACUGAGUGGAUUCGUAUGCAUGUCUCUGCGUUGGUCUGGUAGUCUCCCAUCAGCACCUCAACGAAAACAUCCAGGACAACCAUGUUUGGCCCAGCUCCUGUUCUAGAGGUUUCAGUGUGGUAAUGGCUGGCUCCGUUGUUUUAGACCUGUGAAGUGACAGAGUGCAUGGAGGAGCAAAACCGCUCACCUCAUGACCAGGAAGCCAAAAGAAAACAAAAAAGCAAGGAUCCCACAGUACCCUGCAAGGACUCACGUUUUAAUGACUUAAGGAGCACCCACUAGGCCUCACAUCUUCGAGGCUCAGCUACCUACUAAUGAUGCUCCGCAUUUUAAGAAGAAUGUUAUGGGGCCAGCCACAUGGCUCACAGGAUAAAAGCACUUGUUGCUGUUCAGCCCGAUGCGGACCCACCUGGUAUCCAGAACCAACCUCUUCAUGUCAUUCUUCGAUUAUGCGUGUACAUGGCACACAUGCUUGAGUAUACACACACACAAAAUAGUGUUUCAAAAGUUGUCCUCUGACCUCCAAACAUGAGCUGUGGCAAAAACACACACAGGCACGCGCACACACACACACACACACAUACACUUUCUUAAAUGUUUGUAACUUUAAUUUCCCAUAUUUAGAUUCUGGGUAAUAACUAGUUCCAAGUCCAGAUUAAAAGAAAAAAAUCAUUGUCUAGGCCAGAAAGCAUUCCAAGUAACAUCAAAGAGCCAAGUUGUGGCUCUUCUCUCUCUCUCUCUCUCCUCUCUCUCUCUCUCUCUCUCUCUCUCUCCUCUCUCUCCUCUCUCUCCUCUCUCUCUCUCCCUCUCUCUCUCCCUCUCUCUCUCUCUGUGUGUGUGUGUGUGUGUGUGUGUGUGUGUGUGUGUGUGUGUGUAAAAUAGAUACCGUGGGUUCUUUAGACACAUAUUCCUCAUGCCUUAGAAAAAAAGAAAGUCUGUUUCCUAUCUGCUGAUGACAUUUUGUUAAGAUGGAGUUUUAUAUGUGUAGUUGGCCUUGUUACUCACUUUGUCAGAGGGGCUGUAGUUCCAAAACUACAGCUACAUGCCCUAAGUUUAAUUGGCUUGAGUCCAGUAGCUAAUACCAGGUUAGCCUCUUCUAGUUUGUUUUGUUUGAGAGGCGGGGCCUCACUGUGUAGCCCUGGCCAUCCUUGCACUCCAAUAGACCUGCCUGCCUUCUGGGUGCUGAGAUGAAAGGAAUUGUCUGAGUCUCAUUUCUUUACCAAGGGAUAUACUUUGCAUGUGAUCCCGUAAAGUGUGUAAGCAAUCACUUUAUUAACCACUCACUUUGCUAAUAGUCAUACAUUCCAUCAGGGCCCUUUCAGAUCUUCUAGUAAGGAGCGAGCAGUGAAGCUGGAGCGACAGCUCAGUGGUUAAGAGUGUACACUGCUGGGCUGGAGCGAUGGCUCAGUGGUUAAGAGUGUACACUGCUGGGCUAGAGCGAUGGCUCAGUGGUUAAGAGUGUACACUGCUGGGGCUGGAGGGAUGGCUCAGUGGUUAAGAGCACUGACUGCUCUUCCAGAGGUCCUGAGUUCAAUUCCCAGCAACCACAUGGUGGCUCACAACCAUCUGUAAAGAGAUCCGAUGCCCUCUUCUGGUGUGUCUGAACACAGCUACAGUGUGCUUAUAUAUAACAAAUAAAUAUUUAAAAAAAAAAAAAAA